ensembl:misc_RNA 7SK 7SK RNA
GGAUGUGAGUGUGAUCUGUCACCCCAUUGAUCUCCAGGGUUGAUUUUGGCUGAUCUGGCUGGCUAGGCGGGUGUCCCCUUCCUCCCUCACCGCUGCAUGUACGUCCCUCAGGAAGCUGGAUGGCCUUCCCCAAUAGAGGAGGACAGGUUUUUGUUCAAGGGUAUUCUAGUGGCUGCACUCCCCUGUUGGAACUUCCAAACAAGCUCUCAAGGUAGAGGCAUUCAGUCUGAGAGUUACUCUCUAGCCAUGUUGAGGAGAGCAU